rnacentral:lncRNA from 1 species
CUUAAAUACACACUACACCCAGGUUGCUCAAAGUUGCUACGAGCUAAUUAGCUACUUAAGUGAUCAUUUGAAAUUCCAUAUCAAACAAUUCAUAAUCUGCUCCAAAACCUGGAGCUAGCAAGGAAAAUCACAGAACCACAGAGUCACAUGAUGGUUUGAUUUGGGAGAGACCCUAAAGAUCAUCUCAUUCCAACCUCCCUGCCAUGGCCAGGGGCACCUUCCACCAGACCAGGUUGCUCCAAGCCUUGUCCAGGUGGCUUUUGCCAACCUUGGCUCCCUCCAGAGCCCGGCAAACAGCGGCACCAGCUCGGACACCGCAGCCCUUACAGACCUAAGGGCCAGGAAGCACAAAUAUCCCCAUUUGCAGACGGGCCCUGGUGGUUUUCAGGCUUCAGCCCUCAUUUGCCUGCCAGCAAACAGCAAAGCAGCUCGAGCGGGAGCGGCGGAGGGGGAGCGUGUUGUAAAUGCGCCGGGGAGAUUUCAAAGGCACUUUAAAGCGGCAAUGUGGUCUGGGGAAGAGGCUGUUUUCAAUGCAGAUUUGUUUUUGUUUGAAUUAGUUGAUGCUUAUUUUAAGCUCCUGUGGCACACUGUCAUCUCUGGAUUGCUUGUUUUCCUGUGCCAAAGUCAACCUUAAUUUCUCCCCUCCUUUCAAGAGGGAGCGGUGAUUUUCCCUCUGCUGCACUGAGCAUCAGAUGGGCAGGACAGAGCCGGGCUCUCUAAGCGAUGCUGACAGGAUUACCUACUGAUUGCCGGAGUAAAACCCUGCAUUCCAACUACGGCUGGGGCAGAUGGCGCAGGAAAGCACUGGAAACUCGUCUCUAAUUCCUAGUGAAGGACAAAGCUCGCAGGGACUGGAGAUUCACUGUGGAUAAGCUGGAAAACUUCUGCUGCUUUUCUAAAGCUCGUCUGGCAAUCCUGCGCAUCCGGAGCUGGGCAGCACUUCCCGGGGUUGGAAAGCCUCAAAUUUGUUCCCAGCCCCGUGUGGCUCAGGGGGAAGCUGAGGGGGCCCUCCGGAGUGGUUUCUUUGGGGAAAAGUGAACAUUUGGCUCGGUUUUGCAGGAAGGGAACAGCCAGCACCGGCACA